AAAGAAGAAAGGUUGGGUUCAAAUCCCAGCUCUACUGCUUAACCAGCAAUGUGAAUAAGGAUGAGGCUGCUAAUAGCAAGCAGUGACUCCCAAAGACUCCUGGACCCAGGACAUGAUGGCUGGAGCUCUAAAGGCCUUGUUAGGAAGAUGAAAUAAGAACUUCAGGAUAGAAG